CCUACGGGUGGCAGCAGUGAGGAAUAUUGGUCAAUGGCCGGAAGGCUGAACCAGCCAAGUCGCGUGAGGGACGACUGCCCUAUGGGUUGUAAACCUCUUUUAUAAGGGAGGAAUAAAUGCUACGUGUAGCAUGCUGCCUGUACCUUAUGAAUAAGCAUCGGCUAACUCCGUGCCCGCAGCCGCGGUAAUACGGAGGAUGCGAGCGUUAUCCGGAUUUAUUGGGUUUAAAGGGUGCGUAGGCGGUUUUUUCAGUUAGUGUUUAAACGUCGGGGCUUCACCUUGAUUUGCCAUUAAUACUGUAAGACUCGAGUUCAGACGAGGUAGGCGGAAUAAGUUAAGUAGCGGUGAAAUGCUUAGAUAUAACUUAGAACUCCGAUAGCGAAGGCAGCUUACCAGACUGCGACUGACGCUGAAGCACGAGAGCGUGGGUAGCGAACAGGAUUAGAUACCCCUGUAGUC
rnacentral:rRNA from 1 species